rnacentral:rRNA from 1 species
UGGGGAAUCUGCCUUUGAGCGGGGGACAACAUUUGCAAACGAAUGCUAAUACCGCAUAAAAACUUUAAACACAAGUUUUAAGUUUGAAAGAUGCAAUUGCAUCACUCAAAGAUGAUCCCGCGUUGUAUUAGCUAGUUGGUGAGGUAAAGGCUCACCAAGGCGAUGAUACAUAGCCGACCUGAGAGGGUGAUCGGCCACAUUGGGACUGAGACACGGCCCAAACUCCUACGGGAGGCAGCAGUAGGGAAUCUUCGGCAAUGGACGAAAGUCUGACCGAGCAACGCCGCGUGAGUGAAGAAGGUUUUCGGAUCGUAAAACUCUGUUGGUAGAGAAGAACGUUGGUGAGAGUGGAAAGCUCAUCAAGUGACGGUAACUACCCAGAAAGGGACGGCUAACUACGUGCCAGCAGCCGCGGUAAUACGUAGGUCCCGAGCGUUGUCCGGAUUUAUUGGGCGUAAAGCGAGCGCAGGUGGUUUAUUAAGUCUGGUGUAAAAGGCAGUGGCUCAACCAUUGUAUGCAUUGGAAACUGGUAGACUUGAGUGCAGGAGAGGAGAGUGGAAUUCCAUGUGUAGCGGUGAAAUGCGUAGAUAUAUGGAGGAACACCGGUGGCGAAAGCGGCUCUCUGGCCUGUAACUGACACUGAGGCUCGAAAGCGUGGGGAGCAAACAGGAUUAGAUACCCUGGUAGUCCACGCCGUAAACGAUGAGUGCUAGAUGUAGGGAGCUAUAAGUUCUCUGUAUCGCAGCUAACGCAAUAAGCACUCCGCCUGGGGAGUACGACCGCAAGGUUGAAACUCAAAGGAAUUGACGGGGGCCCGCACAAGCGGUGGAGCAUGUGGUUUAAUUCGAAGCAACGCGAAGAACCUUACCAGGUCUUGACAUACUCGUGCUAUUCCUAGAGAUAGGAAGUUCCUUCGGGACACGGGAUACAGGUGGUGCAUGGUUGUCGUCAGCUCGUGUCGUG